AUCAUUUGAUAACAUAAUGAGAGUGACUACCAUUUGUAUUUGGCAAUAACCAGGACAUGCUGCAAAUUGAAAGCAAAUGAAAAUGCGGACGCUUUUUCUAAUGAAUUAUUCCCUGAAACUAGUAUGUUACCUGAUCUCUAUCAUACAUUACGCAAAGAAGCAAGCAGCGCUGUUCGUGCAAGAAUUAAAGAAACUUCAGUUUUAUUUGUUGAGUGUGUUAAUGAGUUAUUGUCUGCUUCAAACUUGCUUGUUUACUCUUGAAAAAAAAAAAAAGUAAAAAAAUAUAUUUAUAUAGU